rnacentral:rRNA from 1 species
GACGAACGCUGGCGGCGCGCUUAACACAUGCAAGUCGAACGGAAAGGCCUGCUUUCCCUUAUGGAUUGCGGGUACUCGAGUGGCGAACGGGUGAGUAACACGUGAGUGAUCUGCCCCCAACUUGGGUAUAAGCCUGGGAAACUGGGUCUAAUUCCCGAUAGGACUGCAGGGUGGUGCCUGUGGUGGAAAACGAUUUUCUAGUGGUUGGGGAUGAGCUCGCGGCCUAUCAGCUUGUUGGUGGGGUAAUGGCCUACCAAGGCGGCGACGGGUAGCCGGCCUGAGAGGGUGGACGGCCACAUUGGGACUGAGAUACGGCCCAGACUCGUACGGGAGGCAGCAGUGGGGAAUAUUGCACAAUGGGCGGAAGCCUGAUGCAGCGACGCCGCGUGGGGGAUGACGGCCUUCGGGUUGUAAACUCCUUUCGACCGCGAGGAAGCCACCUGGUUGGAAGGGUGGUGACGGUAGUGGUAGAAGAAGCACCGGCUAACUACGUG